UAAUAAAUAACCGUUAUCACCAUUUAUAUCUAAAGUAAAAUGUAUUGCUUCAAAACAAUGAAUCUUUCUGGUUGUAAUUGUAAAGCUAUUUUUCAUUAAAAGCGCAACAUAAAAACUGUAUUUAUUAUUAUAUUCAUGUUGAGAGCAAAAAAAAAAUAUUGUUUUAAAUAAUAUUCCACAUAAGUGGAGCAAAUAUGAAAAAGAAAAACACAGUUGUUAUUGAUUUAAGUAUACAUGCGUUUGAAGGCCACAGAAAAGAAAUAUGUGUGUGCAUGUUUGUUUUAUUGAUGUUAAAAUAAGUUUGGGUUCUUGAAUUUAAUUUUAAAUUCAAGUAAAUGUUAAACUAAAGGAAAUAUCAAGAAUAUAAUAGAAAUAUGGAAAAUAUAGGUACUUGUACUACAAGAAGAAGAUACCAGCACAUGUGAGCUAUGACGUCAGAUGGUAGUCAUAAGCAAAAUGGUUCAUUUUGAAGAAUCUCAACUGGAAAUAAACAGAAAAGAUGCUAACAAUAAAUCAAAAUCUGAAGCUAUUCCAACAACUUUUUAAACUUUCCCCUUAAAAAUUCCCCCAAAAAGACUGAAAGUAAUAGGCUGUCCUAAACCUGGAUCAAUUUUAGAUAAUCUUAAAUCUAAUGCUAUUAUAAAUUUAUUAAUUUCUCUAAAUUUCCUUAAUUUUUAUUAUUUUAUAAUUAUUAAGGAACCAAAAAUGUGUAAAAACUAUUU
rnacentral:misc_RNA from 1 species